rnacentral:Y_RNA from 1 species
GGUUGGUCAAAAGGUUGUGAGUUAUCUCUCAACUGUUAACAGUCGGUUGCAGGUUGGACUCCUGCACUUUCCCCUCUUCUCAUGGCUGAACUUGACUAGUUUUUU